GUUAAGAUUUUAGGGAAUACUAAAAUUGAAGUGGUACAGGAGAAGGAUUUGCAUUGCCCCUGUAUUAGGAUGACAUGUAAAUUUGUGAAGUGUUCCAAUUAUUU